rfam:Camelus ferus unplaced genomic scaffold scaffold1328, whole genome shotgun sequence.
GAGAGUAUAGCUCAGUGGUGGAGUGUGUGCCUAGCACACACGAGGUCCUGGGUUCAAUCCCCAGUACCUCCA